rnacentral:rRNA from 1 species
AUGAGUCGAGCUCCUCCGCGACAGGGGUCAACCGGAACGGCAAGGGGAUGUUGCCUCCCAAGGUCAUUCCUUCUCCCCCGAACUCCGCAGGCAGCAGCAGCUCCUCCACCCACUCCCUCGACUACGCCGCGACAUCGAGAGCCGGGAGGCGGGGAGACAAGGGAGGUGCCCAAUGCGGCGGCGCAUCCAUUCGACCCCAAGCUGGUGUCCAGGCAGCGGCUGGUGAAAGAGCAGGUGGCCAUCGACAAGGAGAACAGGCAAUGGGAACAGCAGUUCAAGGUGUUGCGCGCGGAAGAGGCGAUGUAUAGGAGGGAGCAGGUAUGCAUGCAUCUGGUCUUCUUGCUUGCUUGGAAUGUGAAUUGUGGUCUCUAA